UACGUAGGGUGCGAGCGUUAAUCGGAAUUACUGGGCGUAAAGCGUGCGCAGGCGGUUCGUUGUGUCGGUGGUGAAAGCCCCGGGCUUAACCUGGGAAUGGCCAUGGAAACUGGCGAACUGGAGUGUGGCAGAGGGGGGUGGAAUUCCGCGUGUAGCAGUGAAAUGCGUAGAGAUGCGGAGGAACACCGAUGGCGAAGGCGGCCCCCUGGUUGGAUACUGACGCUGAGACGCGAAAGCUAGGGGAGCAAACGGG
rnacentral:rRNA from 1 species